CUAUGUCAUAAUUUCAUGUAUCUUGUGAAAUAUUGAAAUAUAAUUUUUUAAGGACCCAAAAUUGUGCAAGAAAUGGAGUUCUGCUCUUGGCAAAAAUUUGAAAGCUAGCAGAUAUAUUUGUGAAUUACAUUUUAAUCCAGAGGAUGUGAUUAAAACUGAUCGAACGGUUCUAAAAGAUGGUGGUGUACAUGUACAUGAAUUUCAACGAGUUCAUUUAAAGAAGGAAGCGGAACCUAAGUCUAAUAUUAUUAGUGAUAGCAACGAAAAUAUAAUUGAUAUAGAUAUUGUUGAUCGUUCAAUAAUUGGUGACUGCAAUCAUAAUAUGACAUGAAUAGGACUGAGGAAUUUUCUUUUCAUUCAAUCCAAAAUAUAUUAGAAACUCAGUCACUGCGACAGAAUUGGUGUUGGACAGUUGUAAUAAAUUCUUUAAUUUCGUUGUCAUAUAUAGGUUCAAAAUUGGAAUUAGUUUGUCAUGUUAAAAUUGAUGCAAAUUGGAAAGUAAUGAUUAUUAAUGCGAAAACUAAUAUUGUUAUUGAUAUGGAAGUAAAUAUUUCAUCGAUGGCUUGUGUUUGGCAAUUAUUAGACGCUUUAGAAAAUUGCUUUUUCUGCAGUGGAACCGGAUACGAUGACAAAAAAUGUUCAGUCACCUGUGCGGGUAUAUUAUUGCCGUAGGAAAGGUAUAAACGAAGAGUUAUGGAGUACAUAUGUAUCACUUGUUUAAAAUUGAGACGUUUGAUGCAAAAACGUAAGACAGUGAUAACAAAUGAGGAAGCUCGAUGGAUGAAUUUUAAACAUAGUUAUAAAUUACAACGUAGAAAGCUCAAUCGAGUUGUAAAGUAAAGUUUUGUUUUUAUUAAAAUUUUAAAUAACAUCACACAAUUAAAAAAUAUUAAUUGCUAAUGAGCACUGUGAAAUUGAAACCGCGUAAAGUAUUUUUGUAUGUGCUUGAAGUUAUAAACUUUUUGUACGACAAUUCCUAAAAAUGAGAAAUUUUGAUAAUUUCUUUUUUAUGAAUAUGAUUAAUUUUUUUAUCUUCAACGUUGGACGUUGGCGUGAUUGUUUCAAAUAGUUUGUAUUUAUUUUCUAAACAUUUUUGAAUGUUUCCUUUUUAGAAUGAAAAUUUAAAAUGGCAAUUAUUACAGUUAAGAAAUAAAUUUGCUGAAAUUAAAGAAGAAGUUUUAGUUGAGAAAAUUUCAGAUUUACUCAUUUUACAGCAAGAAACUGUUAAAAAUUGUUUAAUGGCUGCAAGAGCGAAGAGUCCUAAGCAACGUCGAUAUUCCGUUGAAUGGAUAUAUGAAUGUCAUUUAAUGAGUAUUGAAAGUAGUUCACUAUAUGAACACGUUCGGAAGAAAAAUAUUCUCCCAUUACCAUGUAAAGACACUUUAAUGAGAUACAUACAAAAACUUGAUAGCGCUUUUGGAUUUCCUAAGGCGAUUUUUGAUACCCUGAAAUUCAAAGGUUCACGUAUGGAAAUCUAUCAAAAAGGGGCACUUU